rnacentral:rRNA from 1 species
UACGGAGGGUGCGAGCGUUGUCCGGAAUCAUUGGGCGUAAAGGGCGCGUAGGUGGCCCGGUCAGCGUGCGGUGAAAGCUCGGGGCUCAACCCCGAGUCGGCCGUGCGAACUGCUGGGCUUGAGUACUGUAGAGGCAGGCGGAAUUCCGGGUGUAGCGGUGGAAUGCGUAGAGAUCCGGAAGAACACCGGUGGCGAAGGCGGCCUGCUGGGCAGUGGCUGACACUGAGGCGCGACAGCGUGGGGAGCAAACAGG